rnacentral:rRNA from 1 species
GACGAACGCUGACGGCGUGCUUAACACAUGCAAGUCGAACGGAAAGGCUCCAGCUUGCUGGAGUACUCGAGUGGCGAACGGGUGAGUAACACGUGGGUAAUCUGCCCUGCACUCUGGGAUAAGCCUGGGAAACUGGGUCUAAUACUGGAUAUGACCUUUCUCCUUAUGGGGUUUGGUGGAAAGUUUUUCGGUGUAGGAUGAGCCCGCGGCCUAUCAGCUUGUUGGUGGGGUGAUGGCCUACCAAGGCGACGACGGGUAGCCGGCCUGAGAGGGUGAUCGGCCAUAUUGGGACUGAGAUACGGCCCAGACUCCUACGGGAGGCAGCAGUGGGGAAUAUUGCACAAUGGGCGGAAGCCUGAUGCAGCGACGCCGCGUGAGGGAUGACGGCCUUCGGGUUGUAAACCUCUUUCAGCAGGGACGAAGCGUAAGUGACGGUACCUGCAGAAGAAGCACCGGCUAACUAUGU